rnacentral:rRNA from 1 species
UACGGAGGGUGCGAGCGUUGUUCGGAAUUACUGGGCGUAAAGCGCGUGUAGGCGGCCUCCUCAGUCUGGUGUGAAAGCCCGGGGCUCACCCCCGGAAGUGCAUUGGAUACUGGGAGGCUGGAGUACCGGAGAGGAGGGUGGAAUUCCUGGUGUAGCAGUGAAAUGCGUAGAUAUCAGGAGGAACACCGAUGGCGAAGGCAGGUCUCUGGGCUGACACUGACGCUCAUGCACGAAAGCGUGGGGAGCAAACAGG